CGGCCGCGGUACUCUAACCGUGCGAAGGUAGCACAAUCACUUGUUCUUUAAAUGGGGACUAGUAUCAACGGCACCACGAGGAUCCUACUGUCUCCCCCCUCCAAUCAGUGAAACUGAUCUCCCCGUGAAGAAGCGGGGAUUCACAUAUAAGACGAGAAGACCCCAUGGAGCUUUAAACCCGAUGACACCCAUUUAUUCCUAAGCCUUUAUAUUUUAUCUGGUGAUGUGCACUCGGUUUUAGGUUGGGGUGACCACGGAGUAUAACUCAUCCUCCAUGAAAAAAGGAGUAAUAGUCCUUAUCAGAGAACCACACUUCCAAGAAUUAACAAAUUAAGUUAUAAUGACCCGAUAUUCGAUCAACGAACCAAGUUACCCUGGGGAUAACAGCGCAAUCCACCUUGAGAGCUCAUAUCGACAGGUGGGUUUACGACCUCGAUGUUGGAUCAGGGCAUCCCAGUGGUGCAGCAGCUACUAAAGGUUCGUUUGUUCAACGAUUAAAGCCCU
rnacentral:rRNA from 1 species